rnacentral:rRNA from 1 species
GACGUAGGGGGCGAGCGUUGUCCGGAAUCACUGGGCGUAAAGCGCACGUAGGCGGCUUGUUAAGUCAGGGGUGAAAUCCUGGAGCUCAACUCCAGAACUGCCUUUGAUACUGGCGAGCUUGAGUCCGGGAGAGGUGAGUGGAACUGGCGAGUGUAGAGGUGAAAUUCGUAGAUAUUCGCAAGAACACCAGUGGCGAAGGCGGCUCACUGGCCCGGUACUGACGC